AGGCCGCGCCUGCGCUGUAUGCCGUGUGGCCGCUGCCUCGCAGGCUCUCCCGGUCCCUGCUGGCGCGGCAGUGCCGCGCGGUGGGUGAUGGGAGAGCGCGCCCAUUCCCACGCCGCGCCAAGUGCCACGGGAUCAGGCCGAGGCUGGACCCGGAGACGACAGCGAGGGCAGGCUACCAAGCCCUCCCCACAGGGCCGUGCCCAGCCCAAGCCUGCCGAGUCAGCACCCAGAUCCGGGGACAAGAUAGGGUCUCGCUCCAUCACCCAGCCUGGACACAGCUCGCUGCAGCCUCAAUUCCUGGGCUCAAGUGAUCCUACCCCCUCGGCCUCCCGAGCAGCUGGGACAACAGUGUAUGGUCUACUUGGUGAAAGUUCCAUGUGCAACUGAAAAGAAUAUGAAGUGUGAAACAUAUGUGAAGAAUGAUGGUGGGACUCUGGUAUAAUCAUCUUGGAAAAAGUAUUUGUCAUUCUUGUGUUAAACAUAUACCUACCUAUGACCUAGCCAUUUCACUCGUAGAUGUUCAUCCAAGAGAACUGAAAAUGUAUGUCUACACAGAAAGUUUUACAUUAACAUUCAUUGUAGCUUCAUUUGUAAUAGCCAAAAACAACCCACCAGUAGGUGAGUGGAUAAACAAAAUUGGCGUAUCUAUACAAUGGCCCACCACUUACCAAAAAAAACAAAAAAGAAAAAAAAAAACAGCUCCUGAUACUGGCUUUUUAGAUGUACCUCUUUGUAUUUUAGUGGUUGCUCUAGGAGUUUACAUUGUACAUCUUUAUUAUAACCUACUUACUGUAUAUCUUUAUUAUAACCUACUUACUACCUACACCUUAUAUUGUACUACUUCCCAUUAAGUGUAAGAACCUUGCAUCUGUAUAAUUAAUUCCAUUGGCAACCAUGUUUUUGCUAUUGCUGUCAUAUGUUUUUCAUUAAUAUAAACCCAAAUAUACAUUGUUAUAAUUCUUAA